rnacentral:rRNA from 1 species
UGUCCGCCCGGGUACUACGAGCCGCAGCUUAAAACCCAAAGGACUUGGCGGUGCUUAAGAUCCCCCUAGAGGAGCCUGUUCUAGAACCGAUAAUCCCCGUUAAACCUCACCCCUUCUUGCCUAUCCCGCCUGUAUACCGCCGUCGUCAGUUUACCCUGUGAAGGCUUAAUAGUAGGCACAAUUGGUACAGCCCAAAACGACAGGUCAAGGUGCAGCAUAUGAGGGGGGAAGAAAUGGGCUACAUUCUCUAUCAAAGAGCAUACGAAAGAAAAGCUGAAAGGCUUUUUAAAAGGAGGAUUUAGUAGUAAGAAGUGAAUAGAGCGCACCUCUGAAUUUGGCCCUAAAGCGCGUACACACCGCCCGUCACCC